CGAGCUCCCCUCUCACUGCGGCACCCUCCCAUCCGGCUAGAUCUGGUGCUUGAGGCCAACAAAGCCCACCCGUGGCCCUCCCCCCAUGGCUAGGGUUUCGGGCCUGGGCGACGGCGCCGGUGGCCAUGUCGUUCUCCUCUCGUCCGGUGAGUGCACCCCUGGCUUCAUAAUCUCUCUCUCCCCCUUUCUAUAACCUCUUCUCUUCUCUUGUAGACGUGUAGGGAGGAAUGGCCAGUGGACAACAUUGUUGCUGCUCGGGAUGAAGCAGACAUGGAUCAGGUGAGUCGUUCCACUUUUCCUCUCCGCUCUGGUUCGUGGCACAUCAGGAGCCAUUGUUGUUCUCGCAGUGUUAUGAUUUUCCACUGUUUGGGCCCAAGUGCCUGCUGCUUGUGAUCAAUUUGAUUUUGUUGUGCUGCUAAAGUGUUGAUUGAUGCUUCGAUUGAACUGCAAGAUUAACCCCUUGUGCUGCCACCAUAGAUUCGAUGAAGUAGGGUAAACUUAUUGCAG
rnacentral:lncRNA from 1 species